GGGGAUGUAGCUCAGCGGUAGAGCAUUUGCUUUGCAUGUGAAAUGCCCCAGGUUCAAUCCCCAGCAUCUCCU